CGAUCAUGUGUCGCCCGUUAUUCUGUCUGUUGCUCUGAAUGUUUUUUCAUGAUUGCACUAUCUUCUUGAGUCUAUGGCUGCAGUUGUGUCCAUCCCAAGCAUGGCGGUGCCUUUGCAGGAGAGCAGCCACAUAUUGAUAUUGUCCGGAUCUGGCAUUUUUAUGAUUACUAUAUUCAUAAAAUCUUUGCCAUGUCUGUAGACUGACACCUAGAGAGUAGAGUGGUCUGUAGACUGACACACAGAGUGCAGAGUCAAUGCAGAGCAAAUUUUAAUUUUUACUGUUUCAUUCUUGAAUCAGUUGCUUAAAUUGGUCAACUUAUUUGUAAACCGGUAUGUAUAUAGAUUUGUUGCUUAAUAAAAGAAAUUAUUUAGGAGGGGUUGAAUUGCCCCUCCUCAA